ensembl:snRNA U6 U6 spliceosomal RNA
GUGCUCGCUUCAGCAGCACAUAUACUAAAAUUGGAGCCGCACAGAGAUUAGCAUGGUCCCUGUGCAAGGAGGACACACAAAUUUAUGAAAUGUUCUAUAAUUUU